GAAUUAGAAAUGUCUGAGCUGGACUCAGUUUUUUAGGGUUUACAAUUUGAAUUCUCAGUGAACCACGGGAGGAAACAACGAUGAAAUUCUUGAGAGUUUUACUCCUGAUCCUGUGGCUUCAGUUAACCUGGAAGAGGAGCCAACAGAAGGGCGUAGAGCAGAGUCCUGGAUCUCUGAGUGUUCCAGAGGGAGCCAAUGCCUCUCUCAACUGCACUUACAGUGACAGUGCUUCCCAGUACUUCAUGUGGUACAGACAGUAUUCUGGGAAAGGCCCUGAGUUGCUGAUGUACGUAUACUCCGAUCGUUACAGCAGUGAAGGAAGGUUUACAGCGCAGCAUAGUAGAGCCGGCCAAUAUAUCUCUCUGCUCAUCAGAAAUUCCAAGCCCAGUGACUCAGCCACCUACCUCUGUGCAGUGAGCACACAGUGCUCCCCCAGCACCUGCAGUCUGUACCCAAACCUGCUGGGGCCCCAGGAGUGCCUGAUAUAG